UACGUAGGGGACAAGCGUUGUCCGGAGUUACUGGGCGUAAAGCGCCCGCAGGCGGUGUGCCACGUUUGCACUGACAGUGCCCAGCUUAACUGGGCAAGGCGUGCAAAGACGGGUGCACUUCGAGGACCAGAGAGGGACAUGGAACUCCAGGUGUAGUGGUGAAAUGCGUAGAUAUCUGGAAGAACACCAAAGGCGAAGGCAGUGUCCUGGCUGGUACCUGACGCUCGGGGGCGAAAGCUAGGGGAGCGAACGGG
rnacentral:rRNA from 1 species